rnacentral:rRNA from 1 species
GGUGGUGUAAAGGACCACCAAGCCUACGACGGGUACGGGCCCUGAGAGGGGGAGCCCGGAGAUGGACUUUGAGACACGAGUCCAGGCCCUACGGGGCGCAGCAGGCGCGAAACCUUCGCAAUGCGCGAAAGCGCGACGAGGGGAGCCCGAGUGCCCUUCCUUUUGGGAGGGCUUUUCCGGAGUUUAAAAAGCUCCGGGAAUAAGGGCUGGGCAAGACGGGUGCCAGCCGCCGCGGUAAUACCCGCAGCUCGAGUGGUGGCCACUAUUAUUGAGCCUAAAGCGUCCGUAGCCGGACCCGUAAAUCCCUGGGUAAAUCCUGGCGCUCAAUGUCAGGAAUUCCGGGGAGACUGCGGGUUUUGGGACCGGGAGAGGCCGGAGGUACUCCCGGGGUAGGGGUAAAAUCCUGUAAUCCCGGGGGGACCACCUGUGGCGAAAGCGUCCGGCUUGAACGGCUCCGACGGUGAGGGACGAAGGCCAGGGGAGCAAACCGGAUUAGAUACCCGGGUAGUCCUGGCUGUAAACGCUGCCCGCUUGGUGUUGUCGGUCUCUCGGGGGCCGGCAGUGCCGGAGCGAAGGUGUUAAGCGGGCCGCUUGGGGAGUACGGCCGCAAGGCUGAAACUUAAAGGAAUUGGCGGGAGAGCACUGCAACGGGAGGAGCGUGCGGUUUAAUUGGAUUCAACGCCGGAAACCUUA